rnacentral:rRNA from 1 species
CCUACGGGGGGCAGCAGUAGGGAAUCUUCGGCAAUGGGGGCAACCCUGACCGAGCAACGCCGCGUGAGUGAAGAAGGUUUUCGGAUCGUAAAGCUCUGUUGUAAGAGAAGAACGAGUGUGAGAGUGGAAAGUUCACGCUGUGACGGUAUCUUACCAGAAAGGGACGGCUAACUACGUGCCAGCAGCCGCGGUAAUACGUAGGUCCCGAGCGUUAUCCGGAUUUAUUGGGCGUAAAGCGAGCGCAGGCGGUUAGAUAAGUCUGAAGUUAAAGGCUGUGGCUUAACCAUAGUACGCUUUGGAAACUGUUUAACUUGAGUGCAGAAGGGGAGAGUGGAAUUCCAUGUGUAGCGGUGAAAUGCGUAGAUAUAUGGAGGAACACCGGUGGCGAAAGCGGCUCUCUGGUCUGUAACUGACGCUGAGGCUCGAAAGCGUGGGGAGCAAACAGGAUUAGAUACCCGAGUAGUC